UAGGGAAUAUUAGAAAUGGACGAAAGUCUGAUCUAGCAACACCGCGUGUGCGAAGAAGGCCUUCGGGUUGUAAAGCACUUUUUGGAAGGAUUAGGAAGGAAUGUACUUCCAGAAUAAGUCUCGGCUAACUACGUGCCAGCAGCCGCGGUAACACGUAGGAGGCAAACGUUAUCCGGAUUUACUGGGCGUAAAGCGCGUGUAGGUGGUUCUGUAAGUAGGGCGUGAAAGCUCCUGGCUCAACUGGGAGAGGCCGUUCUAAACUGCAGAGCUAGAGGAUGGUAGAGGGAGGUGGAAUUCCGGGUGUAGCGGUGAAAUGCAUUGAUAUCAGGAGGAACACCGGCGGCGAAAGCGGCAUCCUGGCUUAUAUCUGACGCUGAGGCGCGAAAGCGUGGGUAGCAAACG
rnacentral:rRNA from 1 species